GCCUCCGUAGCUCAGUGGAUAGAGCAACGGUUUCCUAAACCGCAGGUCGCAGGUUCGAUCCCUGCCGGGGGCGCCA
rnacentral:tRNA from 1 species